UGGGGAAUAUUGCGCAAUGGGCGAAAGCCUGACGCAGCGACGCCGCGUGAGGGAUGAAGGUCUUCGGAUCGUAAACCUCUGUCAGCAGGGAAGAAAUUUUUAGUGUGCUAAUCAGCAUUAAAUUGACGGUACCUGCAAAGGAAGCACCGGCUAACUCCGUGCCAGCAGCCGCGGUAAUACGGAGGGUGCGAGCGUUAAUCGGAAUUACUGGGCGUAAAGCGCUCGUAGGUAGUAUAUCAAGUCAAGGGUGAAAUCCCCGCGCUCAACGUGGGAACUGCCUUUGAAACUGGUAGACUUGAGUGUGUGAGAGGAUAGUGGAAUUCCAGGUGUAGGAGUGAAAUCCGUAGAUAUCUGGAGGAACAUCAGUGGCGAAGGCGACUAUCUGGCACAUAACCGACACUGAGGAGCGAAAGCGUGGGGUAGCAAACAGGAUUAGAUACC
rnacentral:rRNA from 1 species